rnacentral:rRNA from 1 species
GACGAAGGUGGCGACCGUUGUUCGGAAUCACUGGGCAUAAGAGCACGUAGGCGGGGACGUUAGUCGGGUGUGAAAUCCCUCGGCCUAACCGAGGAAAUGCGCCCGAUACUGCGUCUCUUGAGGGCAGGAGGGGAACGUGGAAUUCCUGGUGGAGCGGUGAAAUGGACAGAUAUUGCGCGGAACACCAGUGGCGAAGGCGGCCGACUGGGCCGGACCUGACGCUGAGACCCGAAAGCCAGGGUAGCGAACAGG